CCAAUUAUUGAUGAUGGUCACAUUUCCUUGGUUGUUGUUUCCGUCAAGAUGAAGACGAAGUAUGUCCUUGACUCUGCUCCAGGUUUCCAUCAAAAGCAGGCAAAUACUGUGUUAAAGGAGCUGGAGUCAUAUUUGAGUAAGCACGACAUCGACAUCUCUUCGUAUGCUCACGAAAUUCCAGAUGUUGAGCCUCAAGACAACAAGAAAUGAAGAUAUAUGGCAUCACCUAGGCUGAGGUAUUAAAGUUCAGAAAGAAGCUUGUAAAACGCCUCCUGGAUGAUCCAAGGACCAAAGUCAAUGAAGCUGACAGUACAGUUGACACUGCCCACAGUACUGACACUGACAAGGUUGAGGAAGUUCCUCCUCCACACACUGACAAGGUUGAGGAACUUUGGGGUCCCAAUCAGUGCGAUGCCCACACAACAGUUGAUGCUAACGAGGCUGAGGAACUUCGGGGUGCCGUUAUAGCUGACACUGUCCAGGACAUUUCUCCUCGAGGCACUGUCCAGGACGAAGAGAUGGAUGAGGGCAUAGUUGUAGCUGACACUGCCCAUCAGUCUGAAGCCCACGUUUCUCCUCGAGACACUGUCCAGGACAGCACUCUAGCCGUUGUAGCUGACACUGCCCAUCAGCGC